GUCGAGAAUCUUUCACAAUGGGGGCAACCCUGAUGGAGCGACGCCGCGUGGAGGAUAAGGUCUUCGGAUUGUAAACUCCUGUCAUGCGUGAACAAGGUUGCUUGGUUAAUACCUGGGCAAAUUGAUGGUAACGCAAGAGGAAGAGACGGCUAACUCUGUGCCAGCAGCCGCGGUAAUACAGAGGUCUCAAGCGUUGUUCGGAAUCACUGGGCGUAAAGGGUGCGUAGGUGGCGUGGUAAGUCAGAUGUGAAAGCCUGGGGCUCAACCUCGGAACUGCAUCCGAUACUGCCAUGCUAGAGUACUGGAGAGGUGACUAGAAUUCUCGGUGUAGCAGUGAAAUGCGUAGAUAUCGAGAGGAAUACCAAAGGCGUAGGCAGGUCACUGGACAGUUACUGACACUGAGGCACGAAGGCCAGGGGAGCGAACGGGAUUAGAAACCCGUGUAGUCC
rnacentral:rRNA from 1 species